rnacentral:lncRNA from 12 species
UAAGUAUUGGGGGAGAGGGGACGGGUGCCUUUUUCCAGUUAAUGAAGAAGAUUUCAUGGAAGAAGAAGAUUUUCUUAGUCACAUUUCCUGUUUCACAGUGACCUUUUAAAAGGAAACCCACAAAUAAAGCUGUGCCAAGGCCUGCUUACAAGAUCUACCCACAGGUAAUAUAACCACAGGAUCAGAAAUAAAAACACAGAAGGGCACCUGGGUGAUUCAAUCAGGAAGGAAGAAGGCAGAAGAUAGGCUUCUUUGUUCACAUCUUGUACCAGUGUUGGGAUGACCUAAAGACUCAGCUAGAACCGAUCCACUUAGACCUGCGUGUGGCUUCUCCAUGUGGCUCGGGUGUCUCACAGCGUAGCAGCUGGUCUCUAAGAGCAAGUAUUCCAGAAGCUGUGGGACCUUUUAUGAACCAAGCCUUGGAAGUCAGAGUAUCACUUUCUGCAUCCUCUACUGAUCAGAGUCAUCCAAGACUAUCAGAUUCAACGGGAGGACCAUAGAC